AAACGAAUGAUUUGAAUUAUUUACGCGCGAUAUUUUAAAUUAACAACUAAAAUCAAAUGAAAUUUAAAAAAAACAACACGCACUUAAAUCUAAAUGUGGUUUAGCGAGCUAUUUAGAUUUCUUUAGUGAAUUCCCUCGAAGUCGUAAAAAAAAUUAUUACUCGACUGUCAAUUCGCCAAACGCCAUAUUGGUUUUAUUGACACGUCUUAGUAAAAUAUUUCUUGACUUGUGGAAUAUUAAGACGCAUUGUACCACUUUUCAUUUACUGAACUACCUACGAAAAAAGUGACUACUCGCAAAGAAGCCGGCUGAUAAAGAAUCGUGAUAAGAGCGUGUCCCAUAUACAUAAAUAUAUCAUGUUAUCAGUGCUCUUGACAGAAAUCUUUUAUUACCAGGUGUGCAAAACAUUUGGUACAUAGUAAAUUUUAUUAUAUAUUUUUUUUGACCGGCAAAGGAAAGAACAGAGAAACUAUUAAAAAUGUUAUCUACAAA